rnacentral:rRNA from 1 species
ACAGGUGGCUAUGGCGGCGGGGAUCCACCUCUUCCCAUUCCGAACAGAGAAGUUAAGCCCGCCUGCGCCGAUGGUACUGGGAGACCGGGAGAGUAGGUGGCCGCCAUCU